CAGUCGCCGCGGGAAUACGUAGGUGGCAAGCGUUGUCCGGAAUUAUUGGGCGUAAAGGGCUCGCAGGCGGUUUCUUAAGUCUGAUGUGAAAGCCCCCGGCUCAACCGGGGAGGGUCAUUGGAAACUGGGAAACUUGAGUGCAGAAGAGGAGAGUGGAAUUCCACGUGUAGCGGUGAAAUGCGUAGAGAUGCGGAGGAACACCAGUGGCGAAGGCGACUCUCUGGUCUGUAACUGACGCUGAGGAGCGAAAGCGUGGGGAGCGAACAGGAUUAGAUACCCGGGUAGUCCCUGUCUCUUAUAC
rnacentral:rRNA from 1 species